rnacentral:rRNA from 1 species
GACGAACGCUGGCGGCAUGCUUAACACAUGCAAGUCGAACGGAAAGGCCUCUUUCGGGGGGUACUCGAGUGGCGAACGGGUGAGUAACACGUGAGUAACCUGCCCUUGACUUUGGGAUAACUUCAGGAAACUGGGGCUAAUACCGGAUAGGAGCUCCUGCUGCAUGGUGGGGGUUGGAAAGUUUCGGCGGUUGGGGAUGGACUCGCGGCUUAUCAGCUUGUUGGUGGGGUAGUGGCUUACCAAGGCUUUGACGGGUAGCCGGCCUGAGAGGGUGACCGGCCACAUUGGGACUGAGAUACGGCCCAGACUCCUACGGGAGGCAGCAGUGGGGAAUAUUGCACAAUGGGUGGAAGCCUGAUGCAGCAACGCCGUGUGCGGGAUGACGGCCUUCGGGUUGUAAACCGCUUUCGCUCAUGACGAAGCUUUGUGUGACGGUAGUGGGUAAAGAAGCACCGGCUAACUACGUG